AUGGAGCAUAUGGCUGUUUCUCUUGGCUUCUAACUCCAUUGUCCCGACCUGAUACCCCUGCUGAACACAAUUACAAUCAUGCACAUAAGUCCACGCGGAAUGUGAUAGAAAGAUGUUUUGGUGUGCUGAAAUCUAGGUUUCGGUGUCUGGAUAAGUCUGGUGGCCUUUUGUUGUAUAGUCCCUUGAAUGUGACUCAAAUUGUGUUCUGCUGCUGCUUUCUUCAUAACAUGUGUUUGCAACAUCUGCCACAUGUUGAUGAGGAGGAUGAAGAAAGCAGCCAACAAGCAGAGGAAUUAGAGACAUCUGGUGAUACUUGGAGUACAGAUGUAGGGAGGCAGGUUAGGCAAGACCUGAUAAAUACUUAUUUUUAAGCAUCUUCCACACAACCUGCUGCUGUAUGGCUGAAGUGGACAUACAUAUCUUUAUUGGAUGUGGACAAGGCCAUUUUGCUCAGAAUCCAUUUAAUGUUUGUUUUUUCCCGUUUCUUACUCACAAUCAAGAUGAGGGGAGUGUGGUUGGCGUCUUGGAGGUGUGACCAAAAUUUGGAGUGGUGGGACCGAAGAAACUG